rnacentral:rRNA from 1 species
GGCUCGCAGGCGGUUUCUUAAGUCUGAUGUGAAAGCCCCCGCGCUCAACCGGGGAGGGUCAUUGGAAACUGGGGAACUUGAGUGCAGAAGAGGAGAGUGGAAUUCCACGUGUAGCGGUGAAAUGCGUAGAGAUGUGGAGGAACACCAGUGGCGAAGGCGACUCUCUGGUCUGUAACUGACGCUGAGGAGCGAAAGCGUGGGGAGCGAACAGGAUUAGAUACCCUGGUAGUCCACGCCGUAAACGAUGAGUGCUAAGUGUUAGGGGGUUUCCGCCCCUUAGUGCUGCAGCUAACGCAUUAAGCACUCCGCCUGGGGAGUACGGUCGCAAGACUGAAACUCAAAGGAAUUGACGGGGGCCCGCACAAGCGGUGGAGCAUGUGGUUUAAUUCGAAGCAACGCGAAGAACCUUACCAGGUCUUGACAUCCUCUGACAAUCCUAGAGAUAGGACGUCCCCUUCGGGGGCAGAGUGACAGGUGGUGCAUGGUUGUCGUCAGCUCGUGUCGUGAGAUGUUGGGUUAAGUCCCGCAACGAGCGCAACCCUUGAUCUUAGUUGCCAGCAUUCAGUUGGGCACUCUAAGGUGACUGCCGGUGACAAACCGGAGGAAGGUGGGGAUGACGUCAAAUCAUCAUGCCCCUUAUGACCUGGGCUACACACGUGCUACAAUGGACAGAACAAAGGGCAGCGAAACCGCGAGGUUAGCCCAUCCCACAAAUCUGUUCUCA